GAUGAACGCUGGCGGCGUGCUUAACACAUGCAAGUCGAGCGAUGAAGUUUCCUUCGGGAAACGGAUUAGCGGCGGACGGGUGAGUAACACGUGGGUAACCUGCCUCAUAGAGUGGAAUAGCCUUCCGAAAGGAAGAUUAAUACCGCAUAACGUCGAAAGAUGGCAUCAUCAUUCAACCAAAGGAGCAAUCCGCUAUGAGAUGGACCCGCGGCGCAUUAGCUAGUUGGUGGGGUAAUGGCCUACCAAGGCGACGAUGCGUAGCCGACCUGAGAGGGUGAUCGGCCACAUUGGGACUGAGACACGGCCCAGACUCCUACGGGAGGCAGCAGUGGGGAAUAUUGCACAAUGGGGGAAACCCUGAUGCAGCAACGCCGCGUGAGUGAUGAAGGUUUUCGGAUCGUAAAGCUCUGU
rnacentral:rRNA from 1 species